rnacentral:tRNA from 1 species
GCCCGCCUAGCUCAAUUGGUCAGAGCGUCAGACUUUUAUGGGUGAGGUAUCCCUCUUGUCACCUAACAUCUGAAGGUUGUGGGUUCGACACCCACGGCGGGCU